UACGGAGGAUGCAAGCGUUAUCCGGAUUUAUUGGGCGUAAAGCGUCCGCAGGUGGCUAUUCAAGUCUGCUGUCAAAGCUCGGAGCUUAACUCCGAAUCGGCGGUGGAAACUGAACAGCUAGAGUGCAGUAGGGGUAGAGGGAAUUCCCAGUGUAGCGGUGAAAUGCGUAGAGAUUGGGAAGAACACCGGUGGCGAAAGCGCUCUACUGGACUGCAACUGACACUCAGGGACGAAGGCUAGGGGAGCGAAUGGG
rnacentral:rRNA from 1 species